rnacentral:rRNA from 1 species
AGUGUUUUUUUUUUAUUUUUAGGUAUUGCAUAUCAGAUUAUUAUAAUUUUGGUUUUUAUCUUUUAUAGAAUGUCAGGGUUAAAAAUGAUUUUUUUUUGUUGUUACAAAAUGUGAUAAAGUUUUUUUUUUGUGUCUACAUGUCGUCUUGUCGGAUAACUGUUUUUAAUUUUGUUUUUAUUAGGUUUGAUAGUCAUUUUUUUUUUGUUUUUAUUUUUGGGUUUAGACUUUUUUUUUGUUUAGAUUUUUAUUAUUUUUUUUUUUAGAUUAUUUUUGAUAAUUUGUUAUCGUUUUUAUUAUUUUAUUUUUAGUAGUUAGUGUGAAGUUAUGUUUUUUUUUUUAGUAUAGUGAUUUAAAUAGUUUUUGGGAAAAAUGUUUAUUAAAGACUGAGGCUUUUGUUUUUAGCUGGCUUCUGCUCAGUGAGGAUUUAAAUGGCUGUUUUAGCGUGAGGACAUUAAGGUAGCGAGGUCAUUUGUUUCUUUAUUGGUUUCUUGUAUGAAAGGAGUAUUUUUUCAUUAUUUUUUUGUUUUGUUUUUGAAUUAUUUUUAUGUAUAAUAAUUUAUAGUUGUAUUUUAACAAAGAUAAGUCUUCGGAAAUUAUUUUUAGUUUUUAAUUUUAGUUAUUUAUUAUAUUUUUUUGGGGUAAAAUUUUUAUGUAUUGUUAAUUACUUAUUUAUGUUUUUUAAUUACUUCGGAGUUAACAGGGGGUCUAGUUUUUUGUAGUUCUUAUAUAUUUUCGGGCCUUACAUCGAUGUUGUAUCAUGAUUGUUGGCGGGGCAGUGUUUGUUUUUUUUUUGAGACUGUUCUUCUUUUAAUAAAUUUUACGUGAUAUUAGUUUAAUUCAUUGUGAGAUAGAGUGGUUUAUCUUGUAAAUUACUUUUUUUGUUUGGUUUUAGUACGAAAGGAAAGAGUUUAGGGUUUUAAACUUGUUUGUUUGUAUU